UACGUAGGGACCGAGCGUUGUCCGGAUUCAUUGGGCGUAAAGAGCUCGUAGGCGGCCACUCAAGUCGAAUGUGAAACCUCGAGGCUCAACCUCGAGCCUGCAUUCGAUACUGGGCGGCUAGAGUCUGGUAGGGGGAUCUGGAAUUCCUGGUGUAGCGGUGGAAUGCGCAGAUAUCAGGAGGAACACCGGUGGUCGAAGGCGGGAUCCUGGGCCAGUACUGACGCUGAGGAGCGAAAGCGUGGGGAGCAAACAGGGAUUAAGAAACC
rnacentral:rRNA from 1 species